rnacentral:rRNA from 1 species
UAAAAAAUUUGGCGGUAUUUUAGUCUAUUCAGAGGAACUUGUUCUAUAAUCGAUAAUCCACGAUGGACCUUACUUAAAUUUGUAGUCAGUUUAUAUACCGUCGUUAUUAGAAUAUUUUAUAAGAAAGAUAAUUUUCAAAAUUUUUUUUAUAUAGUUAUAUCAGAUCAAGGUGUAGCUUAUAUUUAAGUAGAAAUGAGUUACAAUAAAAUUAUUUAUAUGAAUAUAAAUUUGAAAUAUUUAUUGAAGGUGGAUUUGAUAGUAAAAUUAUAAAGAUUAAUAUUUUGAUUUUAGCUCUAAAAUAUGUACACAUCGCCCGUCACUCUUAUUAAUAAGGUAAGAUAAGUCGUAACAUAGUAGAUGUACUGGAAAGUGUAUCUAGAAUGCAAUUUAAAGCUUAUUUAGUAAAGUAUUUCAUUUACAUUGAAAAGAUUUUUGUGCAAAUCAAUUUAAAUUGAUAGAUUUUAUUUAUUAUUAUUAUUAUAUUUUUAAAUAUAAUUUAUUAAAAAUAAUUAUAAAAAUAAUUUGUUUUAGUAUUUAAUUAAGAAAAAAUAAUUUUAAUUAUAGUUUAAUAGUAUUGUGAAAGAAAAUUGAAAUAUUUUGAAAAAUAAUUAAUUUAAAAGAA